rnacentral:rRNA from 1 species
GACGAACGCUGGCGGCGUGCUUAACACAUGCAAGUCGAACGGAAAGGCCCUGCUUUUGUGGGGUGCUCGAGUGGCGAACGGGUGAGUAACACGUGAGUAACCUGCCCUUGACUUUGGGAUAACUUCAGGAAACUGGGGCUAAUACCGGCUAGGAGCUCCUGCUGCAUGGUGGGGGUUGGAAAGUUUCGGCGGUUGGGGAUGGACUCGCGGCUUAUCAGCUUGUUGGUGGGGUAGUGGCUUACCAAGGCUUUGACGGGUAGCCGGCCUGCGAGGGUGACCGGCCCCGUUGGGACUGAGAUGCGGCCCAGACCCCUCCGGGACGCAGCAGUGGAGAAGAGUGCACAAAGGGCGGAAGCCUGAUGUAGCAACGCCGCGUGGGGGAUGACGGCCUGCGGGUUGUAAACCGAUUUCGCCUGUGACGAAGCGUGAGUGACGGUAAUGGAUAAAGAAGCACCGGCUAACUACGUG